AAGUCGUAACAAGGUUUCCGUAGGUGAACCUGCGGAAGGAUCAUUAACACGUAUCCAACGUUAAACAACCCUGUGAACUUUCAACACCGCCGGAAUGAGAUUAAUUUCCAACUCCGGUGAAGGCAAGUGACCUGGCACCUGGACCACAUCAAAGCUCUGACAGAGUGCCUCUGGAUCGUGCUUGAAGGGUGACGCAGUAACGAUCGCUGGAGGCCCACACGGCCGGCGACUGGGUCAGCGAGCUAACGCUCCCUCAAUAACCACUUAACAUGACGACAGUUCCUCUUUAACUUGAGUUGAGCUAUAACAAAAAACUAUACAACUGUUAACAAUGGAUAUCUUGGUUCUC
rnacentral:misc_RNA from 1 species